UGCGUAGGCGGAUUGGCAAGUCAGAAGUGAAAUCCAUGGGCUUAACCCAUGAACUGCUUUUGAAACUGUUAGUCUUGAGUGAAGUAGAGGUAGGCGGAAUUCCCGGUGUAGCGGUGAAAUGCGUAGAUAUUAGGAGGAACACCAGUGGCGAAAGCGGCUUCCUGGACGACAACUGACGCUGAGGCGCGAAAGCCAGGGGAGCAAACG
rnacentral:rRNA from 1 species